rnacentral:rRNA from 1 species
AUUGAACGCUGGCGGCAGGCCUAACACAUGCAAGUCGAGCGCGAAAGUCUUCGGAUGAGUAAAGCGGCGAACGGGUGAGUAAUGCAUGGGAAUCUGCCUGGUAGUGGGGGACAACGUCUCGAAAGGGACGCUAAUACCGCAUACGCCCUACGGGGGAAAGGGGGGAUCUUCGGACCUCUCGCUAUCAGAUGAGCCCAUGUCAGAUUAGCUAGUUGGUGAGGUAAAGGCUCACCAAGGCGACGAUCUGUAACUGGUCUGAGAGGAUGAUCAGUCACACUGGAACUGAGACACGGUCCAGACUCCUACGGGAGCAGCAGUGGGGAAUAUUGCGCAAUGGGCGAAAGCCUGACGCAGCGACGCCGCGUGGGUGAUGAAGGCCU